UUUGUGAACAAAGUCCUGUCUAUCUUCAGAAUAGAAAUCUCCGACCACUGACCAAACUCCAUUUCCAAACCGCUGCCUAUUUGUACUUUCUCCCGAAAGAAACCUCUUCAUUUCAGGCCAUCGGUGACUUAGGAGCGGGUAGUAGCCAUUCUUUUAAAAAUAAAAAAGCACAAAUGGGAAAGUGGUCAUGUCUGGGGGGCACUGGGGCCUACAGCUGAGGAGAGUGUGAGGAAUUAAAAUGAAACUGCCAGUUUCUCAGAGCCCGUCUACAACAAAAACAGGACAGGCUCCGGCUUCCCCAUGACCCUGAACUGGAUAAAGCAGUUGGACGACGGAUGGCUGGAUCCAGUGAUCUCCAUGAUGGACCACAGUUAUUGCAGUAAUCCAGUCCAUUCCAGUUCUAGCUGAGCACAGGGGGAGCAUGACCGCCUGGAUGACCCCUGUCAUCAAUCAGCACAAAGAGCUAAGGUCCCCCACUUCCCCCACCAGCCUCUCUUAUCAGUUGACUUUGUUGGAUUUCAAACCCGAGAAACAGAGGUUGUUGCUACAGGAGCCGCCAUAGCUGGGUGGACAGGCGGAGCAGGGCCGGCCCAUCUUGUAGGGAGCCUCUCCAAUCCAGUUACCCCUGUGGAGACGACAAGGGGCAGCCUGUCAACAAAAUGUCUGCGGAACGCCACCAGUUGGAGUACUUACUGCUGAAACCUAACGCGCCACCCUGACAGUGCACGGCCAGUUGCCUGCUUCUGGUGGGGGAAGCCAUCUUCCAGUCGGACACAGCCCAGACUGCAAUGAGAGAUCUCCGGACUACAGGGACCCAACCUGCAAUCCCCAUACAAAGACUUUUCCUAACCCAUGACUUUGCCCUUUAUGCUUCAUUUAUGCAUACAAGGGCAGUGCAGUGGCACAGUAGUUAGCAUUGCUAUCUCACAGCCCUGGGGUCCUGGGUUCAGUUUUGGACCUGGGGGUGCUCUC